rnacentral:rRNA from 1 species
UACAGAGGUCUCGAGCGUUGUUCGGAUUCAUUGGGCGUAAAGGGUGCGUAGGUGGCGCUGUAAGUCGGGUGUGAAAUCCUGAGGCUUAACCUCGGAACUGCAUUCGAUACUGCGGCGCUUGAGGACUGGAGAGGAGACUGGAAUUCAUGGUGUAGCAGUGAAAUGCGUAGAGAUCAUGAGGAAGACCAGUGGCGAAGGCGGGUCUCUGGACAGUUCCUGACACUGAGGCACGAAGGCCAGGGGAGCAAGCGGG